rnacentral:rRNA from 1 species
CAGCCGUAAACAAUGUGCGUUAGGUGUGUCGGUAACCACGUGUUACUGAUGCGCCGAAGAGAAAUCGUGAAACGCACCACCUGGGAAGUACGGUCGCAAGGCUGAAACUUAAAGGAAUCGGCGGGGGAGCACCACAACAGGUGGAGCCUGCGGUUUAAUUGGAUUCAACGCCGGACAUCUCACCGGAUAAGACAGCUGAAUGAUUGUCAAUCUGAAGGUUUUACAUGACUAGCUGAGAGGAGGUGCAUGGCGUCAGUGACU